rnacentral:misc_RNA from 1 species
AACGCAUCUUGCGCUCUUUGGUAUUCCGAAGAGCAUGCCUGUUUGAGUGUCAUUAAAUUUAUCAACCUUACUGGAUUGUUAAUAAUUCAUUGAGGCUUGGACUUGUGGGGGAUUGUGCGGGCUCACAUAGAGUCGGCUCCCCUUAAAAAUAUUAGUGAGGCCUUUGUUGACCAUCACUUGGUGUGAUAAUUAUCUGCGCCAUGGAUGUUCUUCAUUAAAUUGGGACUUGCUUCUAACAGUCUAUUAUAUAGACAAUCUCAUUAUAAAUUUGACCUCAAAUCAGGUAGGACUACCCGCUGAACUUAA